rnacentral:rRNA from 1 species
AGAGAUGUGUGAUGACGCAUAUCAAUAAGCGGAGGAAAAGAAACUAACAAGGAUUCCCUUAGUAACGGCGAGUGAAGCGGGAAGAGCUCAAAUUUGAAAUCUUCAAGGUUCUACCUUGACGAAUUGUAGUUUAUAGAAGUGUUUUCUGUUAGUAGAGUGGCAAAAGUUCUUUGGAAUAGGACAUCAUAGAGGGUGAGAAUCCCGUAUUUGGUCAUUCCUCCUAGCGUUGUGAUACACUUUCAACGAGUCGGAUUGUUUGGGAAUGCAGUCCAAAAUGGGUGGUAAAUCUCAUCUAAAGCUAAAUAUUGGCGAGAGACCGAUAGCGAACAAGUACCGUGAGGGAAAGAUGAAAAGAACUUUGAAAAGAGAGUUAAACAGUACGUGAAAUUGUCAAAAGGGAAGCGUUUGACACCAGUGUUGUUUUUCCGAAAAUCAAUUACGAAUGUUUUAGUUUUUGAGGAGUUAUGACUUCAUCGGCUUGCUUCCUCUCUUUAUGAAACUUUCUUAAUGCACUUUUCGGUUAACAAGUCAACAUCAAUUUCUUUUGUUGUAAAAGGGUUAUGAGGAAGGUGGCUUUCUCUUCGGAGAAAGUGUUUAUAGCCUUGUACCUCUGCAAUCGGAGAGAUUGAGGUCUGCAGCGUAGAUCCUUCGGGGUUAGAUACAUUUGUGCUAAGCUAUAGCCUUGUAUAGACAACUUGUUGACUAUGCUCAGUCAUGUAGCUUACUCGCUUAUGCUAUUUUACCUACGCUUAGGAUGUUGAAGAUGUAGCACAUCAU